rnacentral:lncRNA from 1 species
UCGGAUUCACACACUCAAGUAUUUUUAUUAAGUAGGAAAGAUUACUCUUGAGGGACAAAAAUGAAUAUGUAAAAACUUAUAAAUUGCUACGAAAAUUGCUAUAUUAUUUCUUUUCUUGAGAGAAAGAUCCCCCUUACAUGGCCAUUGACCUUUAUAUUUAUACAUAGAGAAACGACAUUUAAAGUGAAUAAUUAAGUACAAUUAUUCCCUCUUAAAUGUGUCCGUUUUGAUCUUUGACUUUAAUGCUAAACGUUCGAAUUCGAAUAGAUCAUGAUCUUCAUGGGCUUCGCCUUUUGGCCCAAAUGUUCUUAGGACCAACUUAACCAUGACUUCAUCUUCGGACUUGUGUCGAGGUGCAGUCACUUCGGACCCUCUUUAUGUUGACAACCACUCCGACUGUUCCUUUGGCUCACAGAUCCGACGGGCUUUAUCCUUUAUGGGUCUUCAUCUUGUCUACGUGGCAAUCUUUGGUUGGUCCCGGACUUCUGGUGCGGGAUCCGACACCAACAA